rnacentral:rRNA from 1 species
GGGGGGGGGGGGGGGGGGGGCGGGCGGGGGGGGGCGGGGCGGGGGGGUUUCUUCGGGGACUUGAGAGCGGCGCACGGGUGCGUAACACGUGUGCAACCUACCUUUAUCUGGGGGAUAGCCUUUCGAAAGGAAGAUUAAUACCCCAUAAUAUAAUGAUUGGCAUCAAUUAUUAUUGAAAACUCCGGUGGAUAGAGAUGGGCACGCGCAAGAUUAGAUAGUUGGUGAGGUAACGGCUCACCAAGUCAAUGAUCUUUAGGGGUCCUGAGAGGGAGAUCCCCCACACUGGUACUGAGACACGGACCAGACUCCUACGGGAGGCAGCAGUGAGGAAUAUUGGACAAUGGGUGAGAGCCUGAUCCAGCCAUCCCGCGUGAAGGAUGACGGUCCUAUGGAUUGUAAACUUCUUUUGUACAGGGAUAAACCUACCCUCGUGAGGGUAGCUGAAGGUACUGUACGAAUAAGCACCGGCUAACUCCGUG